GACGAACGCUGGCGGCGUGCCUAAUACAUGCAAGUAGAACGCUGAAGGAGGAGCUUGCUUCUCUGGAUGAGUUGCGAACGGGUGAGUAACGCGUAGGUAACCUGCCUGGUAGCGGGGGAUAACUAUUGGAAACGAUAGCUAAUACCGCAUAAUAGCAGUUAUUGCAUGAUAACUGUUUGAAAGGUGCAAUUGCACCACUACCAGAUGGACCUGCGUUGUAUUAGCUAGUUGGUGGGGUAACGGCUCACCAAGGCGACGAUACAUAGCCGACCUGAGAGGGGGAUCGGCCACACUGGGACUGAGACACGGCCCAGACUCCUACGGGAGGCAGCAGUAGGGAAUCUUCGGCAAUGGACGGAAGUCUGACCGAGCAACGCCGCGGGAGUGAAGAAGGUUUUCGGAUCGUAAAGCUCUGUUGUAAGAGAAGAACGAGUGUGAGAGUGGAAAGUUCACACUGUGACGGUAGCUUACCAGAAAGGGACGGCUAACUACGUG
rnacentral:rRNA from 1 species